UACGGGGGGAGCAAGCGUUGUUCGGAUUUACUGGGCGUAAAGGGCGCGUAGGCGGCCACUACAAGUCACUUGUGAAAUCUCCGGGCUUAACUCGGUAGAGGCCAAGUGAUACUGUUGGGCUAGAGUGCGGAAGGGGCAACUGGAAUUCUCGGUGUAGCGGUGAAAUGCGUAGAUAUCGAGAGGAACACCUGCGGCGAAGGCGGGUUGCUGGGCCGACACUGACGCUGAGGCGCGAAAGCUAGGGGAGCGAACGGG
rnacentral:rRNA from 1 species